rnacentral:lncRNA from 1 species
GGAAAAAUACCUGUCUGCUGGUCUCUGCCAUGUCUCAGUGCCAGCCUGGACAUCUGUGCCAGGGAAAGCGGGGCAUGGUGCUGCUGGAAGGGGUAGGUGGAAGGUGCUGCAUGGUCAGUUGUGUUACCAGGACAAGAGCUGCAUUUAGCUCAAAGCCAGACUUUUCAGCUGGGACCCAGUGACCCCAUUGACAGGGUCUGGAGUCACCAAGCUGCAGCCACAUUCAAGUCCUAUUUUUGUCAAGAGUUUUGCAGUGAGCUUCAGAUACUGCCCACGUGGAAGGUGGGAGAGAUGAAUCCCAGCCAUGGCAAAGUCCUGCCUGGUGAAUUUGCAGGUGCCUCCCCAGGCUGCAGCUCGAGCUGCUGACAGGAGAUGCUGGCAGUGAUUUGUGGGGCAGGGAGUUUUCCUCCUUCCCCCUGCACAGUCUGUAAUUCCCUGGUAUUAUAACAUGUCAUUUUUCUAGCAUACCUGAGGAGCCAGGAAAUAAUGUCUGAGCCUAGAGGGACAGCAACGAUGGAACCUCCAAAGAGGCGAGAGAUGGAGAGAUUAGAGCAAGAAACGAAGCCAGCGGAUGCUGCCAGUUCCCAUCACCUAAUCAAAGCUGCUCCGUGGAAGGGCCGCCUCGUUAUUACAUCCCAUUAUAGCCUCCGGCAGCGGCUGUACUUCAUAACCGCCCAGGAAAGCUGACAGAGAACAAAGCUGUCCUCCAGGAACAAAGAAAGGAGAAUGGUCUGUGACUGGGGGGAAGGCAGAGCACGGCUGUGGGGAGGAGAUGAAGCCAAGAGACACCAGCAAAGCUGCCAGGACUCAGUGGAUAGACAAACCUCCCAGUGUGGUAAAUAAAACCCCAGUUGAUGGUUGAAAUAAUGGCUGG